rnacentral:rRNA from 1 species
AGGGAAUCUUCCACAAUGGACGCAAGUCUGAUGGAGCAACGCCGCGUGAGUGAAGAAGGUUUUCGGAUCGUAAAGCUCUGUUGUUGGUGAAGAAGGAUAGAGGUAGUAACUGGUCUUUAUUUGACGGUAAUCAACCAGAAAGUCACGGCUAACUACGUGCCAGCAGCCGCGGUAAUACGUAGGUGGCAAGCGUUGUCCGGAUUUAUUGGGCGUAAAGCGAGCGCAGGCGGAAAAAUAAGUCUGAUGUGAAAGCCUUCGGCUUAACCGAAGAAGUGCAUCGGAAACCGGGCAACUUGAGUGCAGAAGAGGACAGUGGAACUCCAUGUGUAGCGGUGGAAUGCGUAGAUAUAUGGAAGAACACCAGUGGCGAAGGCGGCUGUCUGGUCUGCAACUGACGCUGAGGCUCGAAAGCAUGGGUAGCGAACA